rnacentral:tRNA from 1 species
AGAGAGGUGGAUGAGUGGUUUAAGUCGCACGCCUGGAAAGCGUGUAUGCGUGAAUAGCGCAUCGAGGGUUCGAAUCCCUUCCUCUCUGCCA